rnacentral:rRNA from 1 species
UACGUAGGGGGCAAGCGUUGUCCGGAAUCAUUGGGCGUAAAGCGCGCGUAGGCGGCCCGGCAAGUCCGCUCUGAAAGUCCAGGGCUUAACCCUGGAAAGCGGGUGGAUACUGCCGGGCUUGAAUCCGGAAGAGGCGAGUGGAAUUCCUGGUGUAGCGGUGGAAUGCGCAGAUAUCAGGAGGAACACCAAUAGCGAAGGCAGCUCGCUGGGACGGUAUUGACGCUAAGGCGCGAAAGCGUGGGGAGCAAACAGG